UGAUUUAAAGAAAAUAGCUUGACAUUCUUCUUCCUUAUGUGAGGUUAGUACUUCCAGCUUUACAUAUGUUUUGUUUUUCUUUAUAUGAUUUCUCAACUGCUUUUCAAUUUUAUUUACAACACAAAAUUUAAUAUACUUGGAAGCCAUCUUGUUAUUAAAUUGGUAGUAAAAAUAAAGACUGCCAGGCUUUCUCCGAGAUAUAUAUGUGUUUCUAAAAUUCAUUUAAGCAAUACGAAAUAUAUCAUGAUAAAAUAUGAGUAACAGUUGCUAACAAAUAUUAAUGACCGGACAUGUUUCAAUUCUUAAUAACUUGUAUGUUUCAUCCUUGAGCUGUAACAUAUUGGUGCCUGUGAUUGUUGUUGUGAAUUAACAUAUUUAAUUGUUAAAAGAUGGAGACUGAGUACACAGGGGUUGUGGAAACCUAUGUUGCUCGGACUCUUCAAAAAUGUCAACGGAUUUAUGUCGGAU
rnacentral:lncRNA from 1 species